AGCAGCCGCGGUAAUUCCAGCUCCAAUAGCGUAUAUUAAAGUUGUUGCAGUUAAAAAGCUCGUAGUUGAAUUUCGGGGUCAGUAGGUUGGUCAUGCCACUGGUAUGUACUGGUCUCACUGAUUCCUCCUUCCUGAUGAACUGUAAUGCCAUUAAUUUGGUGUUGCAGGGAAUCUGGACUGUUACUUUGAAAAAAUUAGAGUGUUUAAAGCAGGCUAACGCCUGAAUACAUUAGCAUGGAAUAAUGAAAUAGGACGUUCGAUCCUAUUUUGUUGGUUUCUAGGAUUGACGUAAUGAUUAAUAGGGAUAGUUGGGGGCAUUAGUAUUCAAUUGUCAGAGGUGAAAUUCUUGGAUUUAUUGAAGACUAACUACUGCGAAAGCAUUUGCCAAGGAUGUUUUCAUUAAUCAAGAACGAAAGUUAGGGGAUCGAAGACGAUCAGAUACCGUCGUAGUCUUAACCAUAAACUAUGCCGACUAGGGAUCGGAUGAUGUUAAUUUUUUAAUGACUCAUUCGGCGCCUUACG
rnacentral:rRNA from 1 species